rnacentral:rRNA from 1 species
GAUGAACGCUGGCGGCGUGCCUAAUACAUGCAAGUCGAGCGAACGGACGAGAAGCUUGCUUUUCUGAUGUUAGCGGCGGACGGGUGAGUAACACGUGGAUAACCUACCUAUAAGACUGGGAUAACUUCGGGAAACCGGAGCUAAUACCGGAUAAUAUUUUGAACCGCAUGGUUCAAAAGUGAAAGACGGUCUUGCUGUCACUUAUAGAUGGAUCCGCGCUGCAUUAGCUAGUUGGUAAGGUAACGGCUUACCAAGGCAACGAUGCAUAGCCGACCUGAGAGGGUGAUCGGCCACACUGGAACUGAGACACGGUCCAGACUCCUACGGGAGGCAGCAGUAGGGAAUCUUCCGCAAUGGGCGAAAGCCUGACGGAGCAGCGCCGCGUGAGCGAUGAAGGUCUUCGGAUCGUAAAACUCUGUUAUUAGGGAAGAACAUAUGUGUAAGUAACUGUGCACAUCUUGACGGUACCUAAUCAGAAAGCCACGGCUAACUACGUG